GCUGGCGGCGUGCCUAACACAUGCAAGUCAACUUGACUGAAGGAGCAAUCUGACAGUAGAGUGGCGCAAGGGUGCGUAACGCGUAAGUAACUUGCCCCAAGGUAAGGAAUAACGUCGAGAAAUCGGCGCUAAUACCUCAUAAUGCAGCGGAUCCGCAUGGAUAUGUUGUUAAAGGUUUACCGCCUUGGGAUAGGCUUGCGUCUGAUUAGCUAGUUGGUGUGGUAACGGCACACCAAGGCUACGGUCAGUAACUGGUCUGAGAGGAUGAUCAGUCACACUGGAACUGAGACACGGUCCAGACUCCUACGGGAGGCAGCAGUGAGGAAUAUUGGGCAAUGCUCGAAAGAGUGACCCAGCAACGCCGCGUGGAGGAUGAAGGUAUUCUAUAUCGUAAACUCCUGUGAGAGCAGACGAAAGACAGAUUAUUAAUCUGGAUGACUGUAUGCUCAGAGGAAGCCCCGGCUAACUACGUG
rnacentral:rRNA from 1 species